AAAGGAAUAGACGGGGGCCCGCACAAGCAGUGGAGCAUGUGGUUUAAUUCGAAGCAACGCGAAGAACCUUACCAGGUCUUGACAUCCUUUGACCACUCUGGAGACAGAGCUUCCCCUUCGGGGGCAAAGUGACAGGUGGUGCAUGGUUGUCGUCAGCUCGUGUCGUGAGAUGUUGGGUUAAGUCCCGCAACGAGCGCAACCCUUGACCUUAGUUGCCAGCAUUUAGUUGGGCACUCUAAGGUGACUGCCGGUGACAAACCGGAGGAAGGUGGGGAUGACGUCAAAUCAUCAUGCCCCUUAUGACCUGGGCUACACACGUGCUACAAUGGAUGGUACAAAGGGUUGCGAAGCCGCGAGGUGAAGCCAAUCCCAUAAAGCCAUUCUCAGUUCGGAUUGUAGGCUGCAACUCGCCUGCAUGAAGCUGGAAUUGCUAGUAAUCGCGGAUCAGCAUGCCGCGGUGAAUACGUUCCCGGGCCUUGUACACACCGCCCGU
rnacentral:rRNA from 1 species